rnacentral:rRNA from 1 species
GACGAACGCUGGCGGCGUGCCUAACACAUGCAAGUCGAGCGAGAAGACGUAGCAAUACGUUUGUAAAGCGGCGAACGGGUGAGGAAUACAUGGGUAACCUACCCUCGAGUGGGGAAUAACUAGCCGAAGGUUAGCUAAUACCGCGUACGCUCCUUGGACUUCGGUUCAGGGAGGAAAGCGAUACCGUGGGUAUCGCGCUCUUGGUUGGGCUCAUGUCCUAUCAGCUUGUUGGUGAGGUAACGGCUCACCAAGGCUUCGACGGGUAGCUGGUCUGAGAGGACGAUCAGCCACACUGGCACUGCGACACGGGCCAGACUCCUACGGGAGGCAGCAGUAAGGAAUAUUGCGCAAUGGGCGAAAGCCUGACGCAGCGACGCCGCGUGGGGGAUGAAGGUCUUCGGAUUGUAAACCCCUUUCGGGAGGGAAGAUGGAACGAGCAAUCGUUCGGACGGUACCUCCAGAAGCAGCCACGGCUAACUUCGUGCCAGCCGCCGCGGUAAC